UACGUAGGGUGCGAGCGUUAAUCGGAAUUAUUGGGCGUAAAGAGCUCGUAGGCGGUUUGUCGCGUUGUUCGUGAAAACUCACAGCUCAACUGUGGGCGUGCGGGCGAUACGGGCAGACUGGAGUACUGCAGGGGAGACUGGAAUUCCUGGUGUAGCGGUGGAAUGCGCAGAUAUCAGGAGGAACACCGGUGGCGAAGGCGGGUCUCUGGGCAGUAACUGACGCUGAGGAGCGAAAGCGUGGGGAGCGAACAGG
rnacentral:rRNA from 1 species